CUCGAGUGGCGACGGGUGAGUAACACGUGGGUGAUCUGCCCUGCACUUUGGGAUAAGCCUGGGAAACUGGGUCUAAUACCGGAUAGGACCAUGGCCUUCAUGGGUUGUGGUGGAAAGCUUUUGCGGUGUGGGAUGGGCCCGCGGCCUAUCAGCUUGUUGGUGGGGUAAUGGCCUACCAAGGCGACGACGGGUAGCCGGCCUGAGAGGGUGACCGGCCACACUGGGACUGAGAUACGGCCCAGACUCCUACGGGAGGCAGCAGUGGGGAAUAUUGCACAAUGGGCGCAAGCCUGAUGCAGCGACGCCGCGUGGGGGAUGACGGCCUUCGGGUUGUAAACCUCUUUCAGCACAGACGAAGCGUGAGUGACGGUAUGUGCAGAAGAAGCACCGGCCAACUACGUGCCAGCAGCCGCGGUAAUACGUAGGGUGCGAGCGUUGUCCGGAAUUACUGGGCGUAAAGAGCUCGUAGGUGGUUUGUCGCGUUGUUCGUGAAAACUCACAGCUUAACUGUGGGCGUGCGGGCGAUACGGGCAGACUGGAGUACUGCAGGGGAGACUGGAAUUCCUGGUGUAGCGGUGGAAUGCGCAGAUAUCAGGAGGAACACCGGUGGCGAAGGCGGGUCUCUGGGCAGUAACUGACGCUGAGGAGCGAAAGCGUGGGGAGCGAACAGGAUUAGAUACCCUGGUAGUCCACGCCGUAAACGGUGGGUACUAGGUGUGGGUUUCCUUCCUUGGGAUCCGUGCCGUAGCUAACGCAUUAAGUACCCCGCCUGGGGAGUACGGGCCGCAAGGCUAAAACUCAAAGGAAUUGACGGGGGCCCGCACAAGCGGCGGAGCAUGUGGAUUUAAUUUCGAUGCAACGCGAAGAACCCUUACUUGGGAUUUGACAUGCACAGGAACGUCGCAGAGAUGGUCGAUUCCAUGUGAUCUUGUGUGCAGCUGAGUGCAAUUGACCUGAUC
rnacentral:rRNA from 1 species